AUUGAACGCUGGCGGCAGGCCUAACACAUGCAAGUCGAGCGGAUGAGAGGAGCUUGCUCCUUGAUUUAGCGGCGGACGGGUGAGUAAUGCCUAGGAAUCUGCCUGGUAGUGGGGGACAACGUUUCGAAAGGAACGCUAAUACCGCAUACGUCCUACGGGAGAAAGCAGGGGACCUUCGGGCCUUGCGCUAUCAGAUGAGCCUAGGUCGGAUUAGCUAGUUGGUGAGGUAAAGGCUCACCAAGGCGACGAUCCGUAACUGGUCUGAGAGGAUGAUCAGUCACACUGGAACUGAGACACGGUCCAGACUCCUACGGGAGGCAGCAGUGGGGAAUAUUGGACAAUGGGGGAAAGCCUAAUCCAGCCAUGCCGCGUGUGUGAAGAAGGUCUUCGGAUUGUAAAGCACUUUAAGUUGGGAGGAAGGGCAGUAAGUUAAUACCUUGCUGUUUUGACGUUACCGACAGAAUAAGCACCGGCUAACUUCGUGCCAGCCGCCGCGGUAACAC
rnacentral:rRNA from 1 species